GGGAAGAGAAGGGGAUGGGGAGGAGGGAAGGACGGGGAGUAAGAGGGGGAAGGGACAAAGAUGGGGGGAGAAGAACUGUUUGGGGGAGGAGUCAGUUACCGCUGCGCCUGUUUCUGAGCGCUCUCCCUCUUCCUCCUCUUCCUCCUUCCUCACUACUCUUCCCACUGGCUUCCAUCCGUAUUUCCUUGUCUGACUAGAACUAACAGAAGAUAAAGAAAUACUUACCUCCCCUAUCAUCACAACACCCCUUUACUUCUCCCUUAUCUUCCUUUUCUUAUCCCCUUGCCAGCUUUACGAUAGUGCAGACGGAAGUUGAUGAAAAAUAUUGACGGAAAAUGAGCUAGUGUAACAGCGCCUUAAAAAGUUGUCAAUUUUCUGGAAGUUGAUGAAAAAUAUUGACGGAAAAUGAGCUAGUGUAACAGCGCCUUAAAAAGUUGUCAAUUUUCUGGAAGUUGAUGAAAAAUAUCGACGGAAAAUGAGCUAGUGUGACAGCGCCUUUAGCUUCCCCUUUUCCCUUCCUCUCCUUCGCAACCUCCCACUCACCCAUCACGUUUCUCCCCCCUUCAUCCUCACUUCCCUUCCUCCCCUUCGUUUAGUCUCAGAACCUUGAAUAAUAAACUUUCAGUACCAUUUUUUCCUCCUCUUCCUUUCCUGCCCUCGUCUUCUCCCUUUACUUCCAUUAUUCCCUCUUCAAUCUUCUCUUCUCCCUUCACAUCCCUUCUCCCUUCUUUCCUCUUCCUUUCCUUCCCCUCUUCCUUCUUUUCCUUCCUAUCUGUAUUCUCCCUUCUCUCUUCUCCCUUCACAUCAUUCUUCCCUCUUUCAACGUUCCUUUGUAUGUACCAUUAGAGGUCUCUUGUUAGUCUGAUUCGAUCCCUGUG